GGCUGAAACUCAAAGGAAUUGACGGGGGCCCGCACAAGCGGUGGAGCAUGUGGUUUAAUUCGAUGCAACGCGAAGAACCUUACCUGGGCUUGACAUGCACUCGAAUGUGCCAGAAAUGGUACAGUCCGAAAGGACGGGUGCACAGGUGCUGCAUGGCUGUCGUCAGCUCGUGUCGUGAGAUGUUGGGUUAAGUCCCGCAACGAGCGCAACCCUCAUUCCUAGUUACCAUCGGGUAAUGCCGGGGACUCUAGGAAAAAUGCCUCGGAUAACGGGGAGGAAGGUGAGGAUGACGUCAAGUCCGCAUGGCCUUUAUGCCCAGGGCUACACACGUGCUACAAUGGCCUGGACAAAGAGUAGCAAACCCGCAAGGGGGAGCCAAUCUCAGAAAUCAGGCCUCAGUUCGGAUUGAAGGCUGCAACUCGCCUUCAUGAAGUCGGAAUCGCUAGUAAUCGUGAAUCAGCACGUCACGGUGAAUACGUUCCCGGGCCUUGUACACACCGCCCGUCACACCACGAAAGUCAACUGUACUAGAAGUUGCUGAGUUAACCCCGACUUCGGUCGGGGAGACAGGCAUCCAAGGUAUGAUUGGCGAUUGGGGUG
rnacentral:rRNA from 1 species